rnacentral:rRNA from 1 species
UACGUAGGGGGCAAGCGUUGUCCGGAUUUAUUGGGCGUAAAGAGCGUGUAGGCGGCUUUGCAAGUCCGUUGUGAAAACUCGAGGCUCAACCUCGAGACGCCGGUGGAAACUGCAAAGCUAGAGUCCGGAAGAGGAGAGUGGAAUUCCUGGUGUAGCGGUGAAAUGCGCAGAUAUCAGGAAGAACACCCGUGGCGAAGGCGGCUCGCUGGGACGGUACUGACGCUGAGACGCGAAGGCGUGGGGAGCGAACAGG